CGGACGGGUGAGUAAUGUCUAGGAAACUGCCUGAUGGAGGGGGAUAACUACUGGAAACGGUAGCUAAUACCGCAUAACGUCGCAAGACCAAAGAGGGGGACCUUAGGGCCUCUUGCCAUCGGAUGUGCCCAGAUGGGAUUAGCUAGUAGGUGGGGUAACGGCUCACCUAGGCGACGAUCCCUAGCUGGUCUGAGAGGAUGACCAGCCACACUGGAACUGAGACACGGUCCAG
rnacentral:rRNA from 1 species